CAGAUGUAUUUCAUUUGUUGUUAUCAUUUAGCGUUCUUUAAAUAUUUCUAUUUUUUGCCAGUUUGAUUCUCCUCCCUGCGUGCAGUGUGGAAAUAUAAUUGUUUAGAGUUUUCAAAUGACGUACAGUGUUGUAGUAUAAUAACAUUAAUUAGAAGAACUUUUGGGGAUUAAUAAUUCGUUUUUGUGACUGUGUGAAAAAUGAGUUGCCCGAAAAAGAUUGCGUUGAAACACGCAGCGGCAGUUCCGCUGUUGAAGAAAAAAUCGUUUGAACGAAUGACAGAAGGCUACCCAAUUCAUCCUAAGCCCGACUGCAAUAAAUGCGUUGCUUGUUUGCAAAAAAGAAACAUAGAGGAAUACACUGCAACUCCUCUUCUAGCCUGCAAGGAACACUCCGUUAUAAAAAGCCCAAAGUGUCAUGACAAAGUUUUACUUGUAUUAUUCGUAUUUUUGAUUAUUCUUGCUCUUGCUCUUGGGAUUUUAUUAAUUUUAGAAGAGGACGAAUCCCAUAUAAUAGAAGAAUUUGACUACCUCUCUAGAAAUGAAUGGGGUUCUAACACGACAGCAUUCAGGAAAUUACCCCGGUUAAGGAGACCGGUGCCCAAAGUGUUUCUGGUCGAAAUGAACACUGAAUGCGACAAUAACAUUUGUACCGGCUUUAAGGAAUUUGAAGAAAACGGCAAGAAAAAAAUUAAGCUGGACGAAGGAAUAAUGUACAAUUUUUAUCAAGACCAAAGUGGUAAAAUUUUUGAAGGGAGGGGAUGGAACUAUCAGUCGGUUUGUCAAGAAAGCAAUAACUGUAAAGGGACUGUAACCAUAGCUCUCUUAGAUGGUGUUAGUUCCCCACCUUCCCCUUUACGCAUCACGAAAUUGAAAGCCUUUUUGAAUUUUUCUAUAUCCAGUGGAGACCUAAAGAUGUGCUUUCAAGUCAUAGUUAAGCAUACAAACAACAGAUACUACGAUGAUAUAGCGAUUGCUUUGGACGAGAUGGUUAAGAAAGACGGAGAAUGCAAAUAUAACAAAUGACACGAAUCCGGAUAAUAUAUAAUGUUAAUUUUAUGCUUUCUAUAUACUUUCAAAUAUACACAUAUAAUAAAUAUUUUGUUAACAACAUAAAUAUAGACACAAAAUGACAUACAUAUGACAAGAUUGACAAGGUAUAAAAAAAAUUUAAACUUAUUGAAAAAUAAGCACCAUGAAAUCAAUCAAGUAGUCAUCUGUAUAACCAUAAGUACAGCUUGUUUCAUGUUAAUUGGUUAUCUCUAGACUUAGUGUGGGAUUACAUGCAUCUGUAUGCGUUGUUCGUCGUUGAUUUUAUGCAAUUUUAUUGGUUUAUUUCAAAAAUGACAGCUCAAACUUAAAUAUGAUUGGAAUUUGAACGAUAGACAACAUUACAAAUGUAUAAGUAAUAAGUACCGUAUAAUCGAAAAAAAACGGCGUCCAGUUGGCUGGGAAAGGACGAUCGAUGACAUUUCCCAUAUCAAUUUACAUAUAAAAGGACAGUGAUCUUCAUUUCAUAGCCAUCGCUGACGUCGUUUUUAUUCGAUCAUACGAUAUAAACCUACAAUUAGCCCGUUAUCUGCUGCUCAUUCACUGGUAUUCACUGUAGGGUCCUGGUAUAUUUAUUAAAAAAAUAUAUAGUCGGUCCAGUAAAAGAAUAUAUAACCAUAACAGUUAUUUUCUGUCUUCUUUUUAAUAAUUUCAAUUUAAUUCCAUUUUGAAUUAAAAAGACUGGCAAUAGCUUUGUGCAUUUUUUUAUAUAUCGUUUCUGAAAGAAAUCAUAUAUUCUCUCGCUGGACAAACUAUAGAAGGUAUCGCAGUGUGGUAGGACCUUUAUAAUUUGAUAGUAGUGAAUAGAAAAAAUCACAUUUCAAAAUAGUUACCAGCAAUACCAGAAUAUUGUAUGAGCUAGGCUUCUGUUUUACCUGAUUAAUAAACGAUCUCAUAUUAUUUUAUACUUAUUCUGUCUCAGAUAUUGACCAGACAUUAGCCGAAAAUGACAUAGUAAUAUUUAUAAUUCAGACCCAUAUGUAUUUUAUAAUUCUGCGUUUCUAUAUUCUCAUAUUUUUGUUUGCCUAUUUAUUUUUUUAAUUUUAAGUAUUAUAACAUUUUUUAAAAACAAAAAAGAAAUUGAAGUAGAAUUGCAUCAUAAAGCACUCCCCCUCUGUUUAUGUCGUCUAUAAUCUGUCCAACGACUAAUGGAAGAUUUCGGCUCUUUUAAAUGUAUUGAUUUCGACAGACGACGUUCAAAAAUGAGAGAAAAUACAAUAUACCUGUGAAUUAAAAUAACAGACACUGUAAAUGAGAUAUUUUCCCGUUGGACAUAUUUUAGUUAACGUAACAACAUCGAAAUUAGUUAUAUGUUUCAUAAAAAUAUUUUAUAAAUAUUCCAAAUACAAAUAGUUUUUGAGAAAAAAAAUAAAUUAAUUACAAUACUACUACUGCAUUUUUGUUGUUUAAUUUUAUUUCCAUUGCAUUUAUAUAUAAUU
rnacentral:misc_RNA from 1 species